rnacentral:rRNA from 1 species
GUAAGGAAUAUUGGUCAAUGGACGAAAGUCUGAACCAGCCAUGCCGCGUGGAGGAUGAAGGUCCUCUGGAUUGUAAACUUCUUUUAUAUGGGACGAAAAUGGGGCUUUCUAGCUCAACUGACGGUACCAUAUGAAUAAGCACCGGCUAACUCCGUGCCAGCAGCCGCGGUAAUACGGAGGGUGCAAGCGUUAUCCGGAUUCACUGGGUUUAAAGGGUGCGUAGGUGGAUUGGUAAGUCAGAGGUGAAAUCUCCGGGCUCAACUCGGAAACUGCCUUUGAUACUAUCAAUCUUGAAUAUUGUGGAGGUUAGCGGAAUAUGUCAUGUAGCGGUGAAAUGCUUAGAUAUGACAUAGAACACCAAUUGCGAAGGCAGCUGGCUACACAUAUAUUGACACUGAGGCACGAAAGCGUGGGGAUCAAACAGGAUUAGAUACCCGGGUAGUCC